ACUUUUAUGUAACUACAAAAAUUUGUUACUAUGAGAAUGAAAUAGAGAACCUGAUAAUAGAACGCUUUAUUGGAAAAUGAGGAUAUGUGUAAAAGUACGUUUCGUAAGCACUGUAUAUCGUUUUCAGCUGCUAUAUAAACGCAAUAAACGCAGAAAGGACAAAUCCAGCAGGCAGAUCCACUAUCUGGCGCAGAACAGAACUAUACGUCAAUCGAGUGAUGGAGCAGCGGUUUGGUUAUAAUUGGAUCAGUUUAGUUAGGUAUUGCAAAUAUUGGCAGCCAGGGAAGCUGGCGACCCAGUGAUGAAACCUAAUUGGUGUUGGUGUACGUGAAAAUGAAAAUGGAGGUUGGGGAAUUCGUUCGAGCGACUGGUUUAAUUGGACUGCAAUGUUGCGAUGGGACGCGACUACGCGACGUCCAAAUUGCAUUGGAAGAGGAACGGACCGGCCACGGACCACGAGAGGGGAAUGAUGAUGAGAGAUACCAGAGAAAGGGAUAAUUAGAAUUACCUAAACAAGGGAAUAGUGAAGAAGAAGCAACCAUAAAAUACAUAAUUACAAAACAUACAAACGAAUACACUUAAGAGUAUGAUGUAAAUCAAUGUAAAUACAAAUUUGGCAGAAAUUUAACACAGACUUCUAAUAAAUUUUGAUUUUGAUUGAAUACUUUAACACAAACUAUUUCGAAGACUUUUUAUAUUUUAUUGAAAUUAAAUAGUAUUUAGAAUGAUUAAAAUGCAGAUAUAGAAUCUUAAAUAAUUGUAAGAAGAAUUCUAAAAUAUACUCCCAUCGUUGCACGUAACGACGCAUGGUUUUGUAAUA